UAGAGUUUGAUCCUGGCUCAGGACGAACGCUGGCGGCGUGCUUAACACAUGCAAGUCGAACGGAAAGGCCCUGCUUGCAGGGUACUCGAGUGGCGAACGGGUGAGUAACACGUGGGUGAUCUGCCCUGCACUUCGGGAUAAGCUUGGGAAACUGGGUCUAAUACCGGAUAGGAGCCAUCUUUAGUGUGGUGGUUGGAAAGUUUUUUCGGUGUAGGAUGAGCUCGCGGCCUAUCAGCUUGUUGGUGGGGUAAUGGCCUACCAAGGCGGCGACGGGUAGCCGGCCUGAGAGGGUGUACGGCCACAUUGGGACUGAGAUACGGCCCAGACUCCUACGGGAGGCAGCAGUGGGGAAUAUUGCACAAUGGGCGCAAGCCUGAUGCAGCGACGCCGCGUGGGGGAUGAAGGCCUUCGGGUUGUAAACUCCUUUCGCUAGGGACGAAGCUUUUUGUGACGGUACCUAGAUAAGAAGCACCGGCUAACUACGUGCCAGCAGCCGCGGUAAU
rnacentral:rRNA from 1 species